UAGGGAAUCUUCCACAAUGGGCGGCAAGCCUGAUGGAGCAACACCGCGUGAGUGAAGAAGGGUUUCGGCUCGUAAAGCUCUGUUGUUAAAGAAGAACACGUAUGAGAGUAACUGUUCAUACGUUGACGGUAUUUAACCAGAAAGUCACGGCUAACUACGUACCAG
rnacentral:rRNA from 1 species